AUUGAACGCUGGCGGCAGGCUUAACACAUGCAAGUCGAGCGGAGAUGAGGUGCUUGCACCUUAUCUUAGCGGCGGACGGGUGAGUAAUGCUUAGGAAUCUGCCUAUUAGUGGGGGACAACAUUCCGAAAGGAAUGCUAAUACCGCAUACGCCCUACGGGGGAAAGCAGGGGAUCUUCGGACCUUGCGCUAAUAGAUGAGCCUAAGUCGGAUUAGCUAGUUGGUUAGGUAAAGGCUCACCUAGGCGACGAUCAGUAGCGGGUCUGAGAGGAUGAUCCGCCACACUGGGACUGGGACACGGCCCAGACUCCUACGGGAGGCAGCAGUGGGGAAUUUUGGACAAUGGGCGAAAGCCUGAUCCAGCCAUGCCGCGUGUCUGAAGAAGGCCUUCGGGUUGUAAAGGACUUUUGUCGGGGAGGAAAUCCCCAGCGUUAAUACCGCUGGGGGAUGACAGUACCUGAAGAAUAAGCACCGGCUAACUACGUGCCAGCCGCCGCCGUAACAC
rnacentral:rRNA from 1 species